rnacentral:rRNA from 1 species
CAGGCGCGAAAACUUUGCAAUGUGCGAAAGCACGACAAGGUUAAUCCGAGUGAUUUGUGCUAAACGAAUCUUUUGUUAGUCCUAGAAACACUAACGAAUAAGGGGUGGGCAAGUUCUGGUGUCAGCCGCCGCGGUAAAACCAGCACCUCAAGUGGUCAGGAUGAUUAUUGGGCCUAAAGCAUCCGUAGCCGGCUCUGUAAGUUUUCGGUUAAAUCUGUACGCUUAACGUACAGGCUGCCGGGAAUACUGCAGAGCUAGGGAGUGGGAGAGGUAGACGGUACUCGGUAGGAAGGGGUAAAAUCCUUUGAUCUAUUGAUGACCACCUGUGGCGAAGGCGGUCUACCAGAACACGUCCGACGGUGAGGGAUGAAAGCUGGGGGAGCAAACCGGAUUAGAUACCCGGGUAGUCCCAGCUGUAAACUAUGCAAACUCAGUGAUGCAUUGACUUGUGGUCAAUGCAGUGCUGCAGGGAAGCCGUAAGUUGCC